UACAGAGGAGCCAAGCGUUGUCCGGAUUGACUGGGCGUAAAGCGCACGCAGGCGGACGCGCGCGUGGGGUGUGAAAUCUGGCCGCUUAACGGCCAGGCGCCAUCCCAUACGGCGUGUCUGGAGUGAUGCAGAGGUCGGUGGAAUUGCCGGUGUAGUGGUGAAAUGCGUAGAGAUCGGCAGGAACACCCAGGGGAAACCAGUCG
rnacentral:rRNA from 1 species